UGUAUUCGAGUGUAUUCGAUUGUAUUCAUGGAGUGAAACAUGGGAUUACACCGUUUUUAAAACGGAAAGUGAAUCAAUUAACAUAAUAGACUCCU
rnacentral:pre_miRNA from 1 species